UACGUAGGUGGCAAGCGUUACUCGGAAUCACUAGGCGUAAAGCGCAGGUAGGAGGUUUGGUAAGUCUAUUGUGAAAGCUCCCGGCUUAACUGGGAGAGGUCAAUGGAAACUACUAGGCUAGAGUGCGGUAGAGGUAGCUGGAAUUCCCGGUGUAGCGGUGAAAUGCGUAGAUAUCGGGAGGAAUACCUAUGGCGAAAGCAGGCUACUGGACCGUCACUGACUCUGAUCUGCGAAAGCUAGGGGAGCAAACAGG
rnacentral:rRNA from 1 species